AAGACUUGUCUAAGAUAAGCUGGCAGUCUACACCGCAUGGCCUGCGUUGCUGACAUUAAGUGAAGUUAAUGCAGAGUUCCUGUGCCUGACAGAUACUUGAGGAAGCAUCUUGGAGGUUGUCAAGGAGAAGGGAGGCGUUGCCAGAAGGAAGGACUGGAGUGGCGAAGUGAUCCAAAGGCAGACUGCACAUCUACGUAUAUGGUUUGCAAGGAACAUCCCGUGCCAGAGACUGUGAUACAAGGCAUGGAGCUGUACAGUGAACUCGGAGCAUCUCUUGUGCAUGUGUGAUGCUGUUUGGACUCGGUUACCGGUAUAUACCCUCAAUCUCAACUCU